GGUUAAGCGACUAAGCGUACACGGUGGAUGCCCUGGCAGUCAGAGGCGAUGAAGGACGUGCUAAUCUGCGAAAAGCGUCGGUAAGGUGAUAUGAACCGUUAUAACCGGCGAUGUCCGAAUGGGGAAACCCAGUGCAAUUCGUUGCACUAUCGUUAACUGAAUACAUAGGUUAACGAGGCGAACCGGGGGAACUGAAACAUCUAAGUACCCCGAGGAAAAGAAAUCAACCGAGAUUCCCCCAGUAGCGGCGAGCGAACGGGGAGCAGCCCAGAGUCUGAAUCAGCUUGUGUGUUAGUGGAACGGUCUGGAAAGUCCGACGGUACAGGGUGAUAGUCCCGUACACCAAAAUGCACAGGCUGUGAACUCGAAGAGUAGGGCGGGACACGUGGUAUCCUGUCUGAAUAUGGGGGGACCAUCCUCCAAGGCUAAAUACUCCUGACUGACCGAUAGUGAACCAGUACCGUGAGGGAAAGGCGAAAAGAACCCCGGCGAGGGGAGUGAAAAAGAACCUGAAACCGUGUACGUACAAGCAGUGGGAGCACCUUCGGGUGUGACUGCGUACCUUUUGUAUAAUGGGUCAGCGACUUAUAUUCUGUAGCAAGGUUAACCGUAUAGGGGAGCCGCAGGGAAACCGAGUCUUAACUGGGCGUUAAGUUGCAGGGUAUAGACCCGAAACCCGGUGAUCUAGCCAUGGGCAGGUUGAAGGUUGGGUAACACUAACUGGAGGACCGAACCGACUAAUGUUGAAAAAUUAGCGGAUGACUUGUGGCUGGGGGUGAAAGGCCAAUCAAACCGGGAGAUAGCUGGUUCUCCCCGAAAGCUAUUUAGGUAGCGCCUCGUGAACUCAUCUUCGGGGGUAGAGCACUGUUUCGGCUAGGGGGUCAUCCCGACUUACCAACCCGAUGCAAACUACGAAUACCGAAGAAUGUUAUCACGGGAGACACACGGCGGGUGCUAACGUCCGUCGUGAAGAGGGAAACAACCCAGACCGCCAGCUAAGGUCCCAAAGUCAUGGUUAAGUGGGAAACGAUGUGGGAAGGCACAGACAGCCAGGAUGUUGGCUUAGAAGCAGCCAUCAUUUAAAGAAAGCGUAAUAGCUCACUGGUCGAGUCGGCCUGCGCGGAAGAUGUAACGGGGCUAAACCAUGCACCGAAGCUGCGGCAGCGACACUAUGUGUUGUUGGGUAGGGGAGCGUUCUGUAAGCCUGCGAAGGUGUGCUGUGAGGCAUGCUGGAGGUAUCAGAAGUGCGAAUGCUGACAUAAGUAACGAUAAAGCGGGUGAAAAGCCCGCUCGCCGGAAGACCAAGGGUUCCUGUCCAACGUUAAUCGGGGCAGGGUGAGUCGACCCCUAAGGCGAGGCCGAAAGGCGUAGUCGAUGGGAAACAGGUUAAUAUUCCUGUACUUGGUGUUACUGCGAAGGGGGGGACGGAGAAGGCUAUGUUAGCCGGGCGACGGUUGUCCCGGUUUAAGCAUGUAGGCUGGUUAUCCAGGCAAAUCCGGAUAAUCAAGGCUGAGGUGUGAUGACGAGGCACUACGGUGCUGAAGUAACAAAUGCCCUGCUUCCAGGAAAAGCCUCUAAGCAUCAGGUAACAUCAAAUCGUACCCCAAACCGACACAGGUGGUCAGGUAGAGAAUACCAAGGCGCUUGAGAGAACUCGGGUGAAGGAACUAGGCAAAAUGGUGCCGUAACUUCGGGAGAAGGCACGCUGGUGUGUAGGUGAAGUCCCUGCGGAUGGAGCUGAGACCAGUCGAAGAUACCAGCUGGCUGCAACUGUUUAUUAAAAACACAGCACUGUGCAAACACGAAAGUGGACGUAUACGGUGUGACGCCUGCCCGGUGCCGGAAGGUUAAUUGAUGGGGUUAUCCGUAAGGAGAAGCUCUUGAUCGAAGCCCCGGUAAACGGCGGCCGUAACUAUAACGGUCCUAAGGUAGCGAAAUUCCUUGUCGGGUAAGUUCCGACCUGCACGAAUGGCGUAAUGAUGGCCAGGCUGUCUCCACCCGAGACUCAGUGAAAUUGAACUCGCUGUGAAGAUGCAGUGUACCCGCGGCAAGACGGAAAGACCCCGUGAACCUUUACUAUAGCUUGACACUGAACAUUGAGCCUUGAUGUGUAGGAUAGGUGGGAGGCUUUGAAGCGUGGACGCCAGUCUGCGUGGAGCCAACCUUGAAAUACCACCCUUUAAUGUUUGAUGUUCUAACGUUGGCCCCUUACCGGGGUUGCGGACAGUGUCUGGUGGGUAGUUUGACUGGGGCGGUCUCCUCCCAAAGCGUAACGGAGGAGCACGAAGGUUAGCUAAUCCUGGUCGGACAUCAGGAGGUUAGUGCAAUGGCAUAAGCUAGCUUGACUGCGAGCGUGACGGCGCGAGCAGGUGCGAAAGCAGGUCAUAGUGAUCCGGUGGUUCUGAAUGGAAGGGCCAUCGCUCAACGGAUAAAAGGUACUCCGGGGAUAACAGGCUGAUACCGCCCAAGAGUUCAUAUCGACGGCGGUGUUUGGCACCUCGAUGUCGGCUCAUCACAUCCUGGGGCUGAAGUAGGUCCCAAGGGUAUGGCUGUUCGCCAUUUAAAGUGGUACGCGAGCUGGGUUUAGAACGUCGUGAGACAGUUCGGUCCCUAUCUGCCGUGGGCGCUGGAGAAUUGAGGGGGGCUGCUCCUAGUACGAGAGGACCGGAGUGGACGCAUCACUGGUGUUCGGGUUGUCAUGCCAAUGGCACUGCCCGGUAGCUAAAUGCGGAAGAGAUAAGUGCUGAAAGCAUCUAAGCACGAAACUUGCCCCGAGAUGAGUUCUCCCUGAGACUUUAAGUCUCCUGAAGGAACGUUAAAGACGAUGACGUUGAUAGGCCGGGUGUGUAAGCGCAGCGAUGCGUUGAGCUAACCGGUACUAAUGAACCGUGAGGCUUAACCUU
rnacentral:rRNA from 1 species